rnacentral:rRNA from 1 species
AGAGCGAACGCUGGCGGCAUGCUUAACACAUGCAAGUCGCACGGGCAGGGGAAACCCUGUCAGUGGCGGACGGGUGAGUAACGCGUAGGUAUCUAUCCUUGGGUGGGGGAUAACGGUUGGAAACGACUGCUGAUACCGCAUGAUAACUGAGGUUUAAAGGCGCAAGUCGCCUGGGGAGGAGCCUGCGUACGAUUAGCUUGUUGGUGGGGUAAAGGCCUACCAAGGCGACGAUCGUUAGCUGGUCUGAGAGGAUGAUCAGCCACAUUGGGACUGAGACACGGCCCAAACUCCUACGGGAGGCAGCAGUAGGGAAUAUUGGACAAUGGGCGAAAGCCUGAUCCAGCAAUGCCGCGUGUGUGAAGAAGGUCUUCGGAUUGUAAAGCACUUUCGACAGGGACGAUGAUGACGGUACCUGUAGAAGAAGCCCCGGCUAACUUCGUGCCAGCAGCCGC